rnacentral:rRNA from 1 species
UGCUAAGGUAGCAUAAUAAAUUGACUUUUAAUUGGGGCCUUGAAUGAAUGGAUUAAUGGAUAAUUUCUGUCUUAGUAAAAUUUAAAUUAAAUUAUUUAAAAGGUGAAAAUUCCUUUAUUUUAUAUAAUAGACGAGAAGACCCUAGGAGUUUAAUUUUUUUGUUGGGGCGACAAUAUAACAUAUAACUUAUAUAUUUAUAAUUAUUUUAUAAAACAAAUUAUUUUAAUAUUAAUAAAACUACCCUAGGGAUAACAGCAUAAUUUUUUAAAAGUUUGUGACCUCGAUGUUGGACUAGGAACUCUCAAUAUUAACAAUAUUGAUUGACAGUUCUGUUCGA